GACACAAUUCAUGUGCAACUAGUAUAAUGUUCCCUUUAAAGGCUUUUAUUGUUAAAACUGUUCUUUUUUACAGCAACGUCCUGUUAAAAUCGAAACCAUUUCAUUUUCCUCAGUGGAUGAAGAUAAAUAUAGAGCUCAGAUAGGAAAGAUGAUCCUGAGGGUUCAUGUCGCUAUUUAUAUUCUGUCAGUUCACAGAGAAGCUGAUUUAACUGGACUUUGGACUCUGUGGUGAACUUUUACCAAAGGAGAAGAUGUUUGUGGUGACGCUGACUCUCCUGUACGCUGCUUCUCUGGAAACAGCUUAAAGAGAAACUAAAGUUUUCUCUGAGUGUCGCUCGAUGAUCAGGAGGAGGAAAGUGACAACUGGCUGUGAACUGACGUCCUGAAGCUGUUUCUGAAGCUGCUCUUAGUUUAGGAAGAAGCAGGUUGAAGGAGACUUUGUGGUUGUUGGAGUUUCUACAGGAAGAUGAAGAUGUUGGUGGUGUUUGUGAUCCUCGUGCACGUUUUCCAGCAUGGUUUGGGUGUGGAGGUGUAUGAGGGGGCAGCUUCAGUCCUGUUGCCCUGUCACAUCUCUUCUGUUCCUCUGAGGCCAACGGUGCUGUGGAGCCGCAACACACUCAGUCCAUCCACUAUCCACCAGCGUGACUCAGGUGGUGAUGACCUUAAAGAUCAAAACCUGUGUUACAAAGGACGAACAUCGAUGAGGACUGAUGCUCUGACAGCUGGAGACCUCAGUCUGACUCUGAGAAAACCUAGUGUCUCUGACAGCGGAAACUACACCUGCACCAUCACAGCGUCUGGAAAUGAAAAGAGACUGGCAGACGUAGAGCUGCAGGUCAAAGGUCAGUAACAAACCCUAACACCGACUGUAGAUACAGGUCAGAGGUCAGGGCUGUACCUCUAAUAGAAGCAGACUCAGGGUGGGCGGCCAUCUGCCUCGACGGGGAGCUGGAUCUGAGUGCAGCGGUCACUGAGUCAGGGGAGGUCGAUGGUGGAGGAGGAGGAGCUGGUGACAAAUGAAGAACUAGUUGAACAGACGGAAACAUCUGUCCGUGUCUAAUG
rnacentral:lncRNA from 1 species